rnacentral:tRNA from 1 species
GCAGUGGUGGUUUGGUGGUAGAAUUCUUGCCUUCUAUGCGGGAGACCCGGGUUCAGUUCCCAGCCGUUGCA